rnacentral:lncRNA from 1 species
CCUGCUCUCAAGUCUGGGCCCCAUCCUGGCUCAUGAGACCCUAAACACUGACCAUGUUUUCCUUUACCAUUUAUUUUGACCAUAAGCACUCCCCCCAACCCCCAGUGCCAACCUUGGCUUCCCAUUAAAAUCACUGAGAGAUUUUUCAAAAUCCUGUUGCCGAGCUGCAAUAUCCUGGCCAAAUAAGUGAAAUUACCAGAAGUGGAUCUCAGGCGGAUUGAAAGGUCUCCGGGGGAGACUCGAGCCCCGGGCUACCUUGCCAGCAGAGUCUUGCCCAACACCCGCAAGGGCCCACAAGGGACUCCCCACGGGACCCUAAGACCUCUGAUUUUUAGAGAGGAGAGUCUCACCUCACAGUAUUCCGUGAUAAUGCAAAAAGUCUCCUGCUCCAUGAAGCUUGCAUGGAAUCUGACAAUGGCAGGAUGAUGGAGCCUGGAGAGGAGCUGAGCUUCCACAUUGGCCUGCACGGUCUCAUUUGGAUUUAAUUCGCCAACAGAGAUUUCCUUCAGUACCUUUCUGUAGCCAAAAACAAUAGAAAGCAAAGGAAGAAAAGAAAAAGAAAGAAGAGGAGAAGAAAGAAAGACAUCAAGAGUUGAGAAGUCUGUUUCUCUGUUGUAAGGACGUGGUACAGAACCCCUCACCAUGCCCAGGAAAUAAUCAGCUGCUCCAGGGCCUAGUUCUGCCUGCUCUGGGUCUGAAGCCCUGGGUCCCUGCCUGUCCCACCCAGUACCAUGGUGCUCCACAGCCUCUGAACGCCACAUGGUGCUGUGCACUCUAUGACUUAUAAGGGCAGACAUGGAGCCUGGAGCAGUGCUGUGGGGCACUCCCCUCCAUCCCAUAAGACAUUCGGUUUCUUUCACAGCAUCUGUUUCCAUCUCCGUGUGAUCCAUUUUGUCUGUGGCUGCCCAUCUGCACUCACCAUGACUUUUCUAUCUCUGCCUGUCUUAUACGCCCUCCUCCUUCCUCUGCUCCCUCUCUACAUCUCACUCUGUGGUUUAUGGAAUCUCUCUGUCUCUCUGCUUCUGCCUCUGUGUUUCUGUCUCUGUGACUCUCUCUGUCUCUCUGUCUGUCUGUCUGUCUGUCUGUCUGUCUCUCUCUCUCUCUCUCUCUCUUAUUCGCUCACUCACUCUCAAUCCCUCCCUCUACUCUAAAAUGCUCCCAAACGUUUGAAUUGAAUGUCAGUCCAUAUGCGCAAUUUCUUUCUCUUCUCUCCUAACUGUCCUUGGCACACCAUGCUCUGUUGCUGGCAGGAUUUAGGAAGACAAAAGUUUUAACUAAAAACAUUGAAGAAUUG